AAAGGAGAAAAGUUAGCGUUAUUCGGAUUUGUAUCAUCAAUAAGAAUUGCGAAAGCAUGGCCUAUCGAUCCUUUAAGCCCAGAAAGAUUCUGGCUAGAGGUGAUGGAAAAGUUACCACAGGGAUCCUUCGCCGAAGGGAGUGCCAGCU
rnacentral:ncRNA from 1 species